rnacentral:rRNA from 1 species
UACAGAGGUCUCAAGCGUUGUUCGGAUUUAUUGGGCGUGAAGGGCGCGUAGGCGGCGGGGUAAGUCGGGUGUGAAAUCUCAGGGCUCAACCCUGAAACUGCACUUGAUACUGCUCUGCUUGAGGACUGGAGAGGAGACUGGAAUUCACGGUGUAGCAGUGAAAUGCGUAGAUAUCGUGAGGAAGACCAGUGGCGAAGGCGGGUCUCUGGACAGUUCCUGACGCUGAGGCGCGAAGGCCAGGGGAGCAAACGGG